GACGAACGCUGGCGGCGUGCCUAAUACAUGCAAGUAGAACGCAGUUGCGAACGGGUGAGUAACGCGUAGGUAACUGCCUCAUAGCGGGGGAUAACUAUUGGAAACGAUAGCUAAUACCGCAUACUGUGAGAUGGACCUGCUUUGUAUUAGCUAUGUGGUGGGGUAAAGGCUCACCAAGGCGACGAUCCAUAGCCGACCUGAGAGGGGGAACGGCCAACCUUGGAAUUGGACACGGCCCAGACUUCUACGGGAGGCAGGAGUAGGGAAUCUUCGGCAAUGGACGGAAGUCCGACCGAGCAACGCCGCGGGAUUGAAGAAGGUUUUCGGAUCGUAAAGCUCUGUUGUUAGAGAAGCGGUAACUAAACAGAAAGGGACGGCUAACUACGUGCCAGCAGCCGCGGUAAUAC
rnacentral:rRNA from 1 species